rnacentral:rRNA from 1 species
AACGAACGCUGGCGGCAUGCCUAACACAUGCAAGUCGAACGAAACCUUCGGGUCUAGUGGCGCACCUGUACGUGCCACCUGGUGAGCUACCCUUGGGUUCCGUAUCCCUCACCGUAGGGUGUCCUCAUAACACUUAAUCUCUUCGCGCCAAGGAUGUCUCGCCAUUGGAUGGGCCCGCGUUGGAUUAGCUGGUUGGUAGUGUACAAGCCUCCCAAGGCGACGAUCCAUGGCUGGUCGGAGAGGAGGACCAGCUACACUGGGAAUGAGACACGGACUAGACUCGUACGGGAGGGAGCAGUGGGGAAUACUGGACAAGGGGCGAAAGCCUGAUCAAGCAAUGUCGCGGGAGAGAUGAAUGGCUUAGUGUUGUAAAGCUGUUUUACACGGGACGAUAAUGACAGUAACGGGAGAAUAAGCACCGGCUAACUACGUG